UGGCGGACGGGUGAGUAAUGUCUGGGAAACUGCCUGAUGAGGGGGAUAACUACUGGAAACGGUAGCUAAUACCGCAUAACGUCGCAAGACCAAANAGGGGGACCUUCGGGCCUCUUGCCAUCGGAUGUGCCCAGAUGGGAUUAGCUAGUAGGUGGGGUAAAGGCUCACCUAGGCGACGAUCCCUAGCUGGUCUGAGAGGAUGACCAGCCACACUGGAACUGAGACACGGUCCAGACUCCUACGGGAGGCAGCAUG
rnacentral:rRNA from 1 species